GGGCCCUUAGCUCAGUCGGUAGAGCAACUGACUUUUAAUCAGUAUGUCCAGUGUUCGAAUCCCUGAGGGCUCACCA
rnacentral:tRNA from 1 species